UACGUAGGGAGCGAGCGUUGUCCGGAAUUACUGGGCGUAAAGGGUGCGUAGGCGGUUUACUAAGUCAGAUGUGAAAUACCCGUGCUUAACAUGGGGGGUGCAUCUGAUACUGGUAGACUUGAGUAUAGGAGAGGAAAGUGGAAUUCCUAGUGUAGCGGUGGAAUGCGUAGAUAUUAGGAGGAACACCAGUGGCGAAGGCGGCUUUCUGGACUAUAACUGACGCUGAGGCACGAAAGCGUGGGGAGCAAAC
rnacentral:rRNA from 1 species